GGAUCAGCAGGUUGGUCGUGCCUACGGUAUGAACUGGCCUUGCUGAUUCCUCCCUCUUGAUGAGCCGUAAUGCCAUUAAUUUGGUGUUGCGGGGAAUCAGGACUGUUACUUUGAAAAAAUUAGAGUGUUCAAAACAAGCUUAUGCUUGAAUACAUUAGCAUGGAAUAACGGAAUAGGACU
rnacentral:rRNA from 1 species